GCUUGUUGCGAAGAAGAAGCGACUACAGAGACAACAAUGGAGGGAGAACCGACUCGAAUAAUGCUUGCAGUGAAUCAGUCAACCAUCAAGGGCUAUCCACACCCUUCCAUAAGCAGCAAAAGGGCUUUCGAAUGGACUCUCCAGAAGAUCGUCCGCUCCAACACCUCUGGUUUCAAGUUCCUCUUCCUCCAUGUCCUAGUGCCUGAUGAAGACGGUUUUGAUGAAGUAGAUAGUAUUUUUGCAUCACCUGAUGAUUUUAAAGAGUUGAAACAAAG
rnacentral:misc_RNA from 1 species